UGGGAAGUGAUGAUACUCCCGACCCUUGACGUCACGCUGAUCUCUCGCGUAUUCGUACUGGCUGAUCCCG
rnacentral:snoRNA from 10 species